rnacentral:guide_RNA from 1 species
AUGUCCAACAAAAUAAAAAUUAAAUAAAUUAAAAUAUUUGUGUUUG